CAAGGAGAUAUCAAUCAUCGACUGUGGGUUGUUUUCAACCAGUAGGUGAUGGUGAUAAAAUGGAGAAUCUUCAACCCAACGCUCGUGAUCCAGGAGCGGGUUCAUCCUCGUCAUCUCCAGCAGCACCCUGGCCUCAUCUCCUGUCCAAGCUGUUAAUGGACUCCGAGUCUGACACUUUCUAGGCUACCUCGGCUGACCCACUGGACUCCAUUCCAUCUAAACUUUUUUGUAGGCCUUACAAGUGUAUUUAGGUAACUAUCGAUAAUAUACUGUAUUGCUUUACGUUCAUAUUUAAAUAAAUGAGCUGAAAAUGUUUGUAGUAUUCUAUUCAAUUUUAUUUAUAUAGCUCCAAAUCACAACAACACUUAUCUCACAGCACUUUUCAUCAAGAGCAGGUCUAGACCGUACUCUCUGAUGUUAUUUACAGAAACCCAACAAUGCAAGCACUAGGCUACAGAGGCAAGGUUCCUUUUAAGAGGCAGAAACCUUGAGCAGAACCAUGGCUCAGGGUGGGUGGCCAUCUGCCUCAACCGGUUGGGGGCGAGAGAAAGAGAGAGAGCCAGAGGGAGAGAGAGAGCCAGAGAGAGGGAGGGAGGGAGGGAGGGAGGGAGGAGCAGCCUACACAAUAUACACACAGAGGUACAGACAGUAGCGGCAAUGUUGCCAUAGACAGAGCGAAUAAUGAUACAGAUAUUCAUAGCAAUGUUUAUGAUAAUAGUUGCAAUGAUAAUAGUAAUAGGACUAGUAACAAUAAUCGUAACAGAGGGUGUCGCACAGGAACAUGGGGGCAGCAGGUGACUCGCAACCACAGAUCCAGACUCCACAGCUCCAGAGCCAGAAACACCUGCAGAAAGUGAUAGGAGGGACAGGAGAGGGACGAGAGAGCAGUCUUCUAUAGUCUACAUUUUCAUGAUUUAAUACAUGAAGUUGUGUGGACUACACAAAAUGUUGAACCUUCCUGUCAGUUAUAUAAUGCUUUGUAAAAGUACAUUAUUACCAGACAUUCUUUAUUUGAUAAAUCCCACUCAGGGAUAUUGGAUUUCAAUAAGUUGUAACAUACUGUGAUGUAAAAUGACUGAAGCUGCUC